rnacentral:rRNA from 1 species
UGGGGAAUUUUGGACAAUGGGCGAAAGCCUGAUCCAGCAAUGCCGCGUGUGUGAAGAAGGCCUUCGGGUUGUAAAGCACUUUUGUCCGGAAAGAAAUCCUUGGCUCUAAUACAGUCGGGGGAUGACGGUACCGGAAGAAUAAGCACCGGCUAACUACGUGUCAGCAGCCGCGGUAAUACGUAGGGUGCAAGCGUUAAUCGGAAUUACUGGGCAUAAAGCGUGCGCAGGCGGUUUGCUAAGACCGAUGUGAAAUCCCCGGGCUCAACCUGGGAACUGCAUUGGUGACUGGCAGGCUAGAGUAUGGCAGAGGGGGGUAGAAUUCCACGUGUAGCAGUGAAAUGCGUAGAGAUGUGGAGGAAUACCGAUGGCGAAGGCAGCCCCCUGGGCCAAUACUGACGCUCAUGCACGAAAGCGUGGGGAGCAAACAGGAUUAGAUACCCUGGUAGUCCACGCCCUAAACGAUGUCAACUAGUUGUUGGGGAUUCAUUUCCUAGUAACGUAGCUAACGCGUGAAGUUGACCGCCUGGGGAGUACGGUCGCAAGAUUAAAACUCAAA